CCUACGGGAGGCAGCAGUGGGGAAUAUUGGACAAUGGGGAGAACCCUGAUCCAGCCAUGCCGCGUGUGUGAAGAAGGCCCUCGGGUUGUAAAGCACUUUCAGUGAGGAAGAACGCCUGGUGGUUAAUACCCAUCAGGAAAGACAUCACUCACAGAAGAAGCACCGGCUAACUCCGUGCCAGCAGCCGCGGUAAUACGGAGGGUGCGAGCGUUAAUCGGAAUUACUGGGCGUAAAGCGCGCGUAGGUGGCUUGAUAAGCCGGUUGUGAAAGCCCCGGGCUCAACCUGGGAACGGCAUCCGGAACUGUCAAGCUAGAGUGCAGGAGAGGAAGGUAGAAUUCCCGGUGUAGCGGUGAAAUGCGUAGAGAUCGGGAGGAAUACCAGUGGCGAAGGCGGCCUUCUGGACUGACACUGACACUGAGGUGCGAAAGCGUGGGUAGCAAACAGGAUUAGAUACCCCUGUAGUC
rnacentral:rRNA from 1 species